AUUGAACGCUGGCGGCAGGCCUAACACAUGCAAGUCGAGCGAGCGGCGGACGGGUGAGUAAUGUAUGGGGACUGCCCGAUAGAGGGGGAUAACUACUGGAAACGGUAGCUAAUACCGCAUACUAUCGGAUAACCCAUAUGGGAUUAGCGAGUCGGUAGGGUAAUGGCUUACCUAGGCGACGAGCCCUACCUGUUCUGAGAGGAUGAUCAGCCACCCGGGGACUGAGACACGGCCCAGACUCAUACGGAGGCAGCAGUGUGGAAGAUUGCACAAUGGGCGCAAGUCUGAUGCAGCCAUGCCGCGUGUAUGAAGAAGGCCCUAGGGUUGUAAAGUACUUUCAGUCGGGAGGCGUUACCGACAGAAGAAGCACCGGCUAACUCCGUGCCAGCAGCCGCGGUAAUUC
rnacentral:rRNA from 1 species